rnacentral:rRNA from 1 species
UACGUAGGGGGCAAGCGUUGUCCGGAUUUAUUGGGCGUAAAGAGCGUGUAGGCGGUUUGGUAGGUCCGUUGUGAAAACUCGAGGCUCAACCUCGAGACGCCGAUGGAAACCAUCAGACUAGAGUCCGGAAGAGGAGAGUGGAAUUCCUGGUGUAGCGGUGAAAUGCGCAGAUAUCAGGAAGAACACCCAUGGCGAAGGCAGCUCUCUGGGACGGUACUGACGCUGAGACGCGAAAGCGUGGGGAGCGAACAGG